AGUAGAAACAAAUCAUUACAUAUCCCUUACAAAUAUAUAUGAGUUCUAAUACAUACAUAUACUGAGACCAAAAGUGGCUGUAAAAUAUAAAACAAAAUACAAGAGCCACUUCUUUUGCUAUGUUAUUGGACUCAUCAGAGUGCGAGAACAAUUAUGCACUCAGACUUGUGGAUCCACAAAACCCUCAUAGACUUCCAAGGGUAAGUAAGUUUGU
rnacentral:lncRNA from 1 species